rnacentral:rRNA from 1 species
AUUGAACGCUGGCGGCAGGCCUAACACAUGCAAGUCGAGCGAGCGGCGGACGGGGGAGAGAUGUCUGGGGGACUGCGUCUGAGGGAGGGAUAAAUACUGGAAAAGGUGGCUAAUACACCGUACCAUCAGGUGUGCGCACAGGGGAUUAGAGAGUAGGUGGGGUAACGGCUCACCUAGGCGACGAUCCCUAGCUGGUCUGAGAGGAUGACCAGCCACACUGGAACUGAGACACGGUCCAGACUCCUACGUGAGGCAGCAGUGGGGAAUAUUGCACAAGGGGCGCAAGCCUGAUGCAGCCAUGCCGCGUGUGUGAAGAAGGCCUUCGGGUUGUAAAGCACUUUCAGCGGGGAGGCGUUACCCGCAGAAGAAGCACCGGCUAACUCCGUGCCAGCAGCCGCGGUAAUAC